GCGCUGAUGGUGUAGUGGCAACAUGUGAGCUUCCCAAGCUUACGCCCGGGGUUCGAUUCCCCGUCAGCGCA
rfam:Spizellomyces punctatus DAOM BR117 chromosome Tnknown supercont1.5, whole genome shotgun sequence.